rnacentral:rRNA from 1 species
GAUGAACGCUGGCGGCGUGCCUAACACAUGCAAGUCGAGCGAACCCUUCGGGGUGAGCGGCGGACGGGUGAGUAACGCGUGGGUAACCUGCCCUAUACACACGGAGAACAUACCGAAAGGUAUGCUAAUACGGGAUAACAUGAGAGAGUAGCAUAGCUUUCUUAUCAAAGCUCCGGCGGUACAGGAUGGACCCGCGUCUGACUAGCUAGUUGGUGAGGUAAUGGCUCACCAAGGCGACGAUCAGUAGCCGACCUGAGAGGGUGAUCGGCCACAUUGGAACUGAGACACGGUCCAAACUCCUACGGGAGGCAGCAGUGGGGAAUAUUGCACAAUGGGCGAAAGCCUGACGCAGCAACGCCGCGUGAGCGAUGAAGGCCUUCGGGUCGUAAAGCUCUGUCCUCAAGGAAGAUAAUGACGGUACUUGAGGAGGAAGCCCCGGCUAACUACGUGCCAGCCGCCGCCGUAA